GACACCAUAGCCAAGUGGUUACGGCGACAGAUUCGAACAAACUUACUUGUUUUCCUUAUCUGUUUCCCUCUGGGAGCGCAGGUUCAAAUCCUGCUGGUGUCG